AGCAGCCGCGGUAAUUCCAGCUCCAAUAGCGUAUAUUAAAGUUGUUGCAGUUAAAAAGCUCGUAGUUGAAUUUCGGGAUCAGUACGCUGGUCGUGCCUUGGUAUGUACUGGUGUUACUGGUUCCUACCUUCUGACGAACCGUCAUGUCAUUAAUUUGGUGUGGCGGGGAAUCAGGACUGUUACUUUGAAAAAAUUAGAGUGUUUAAAGCAGGCUCGCGCUUGAAUACAUUAGCAUGGAAUAAUGAAAUAGGACGUUUGAUCCUAUUUUGUUGGCUUCUAGGAUUGACGUAAUGAUUAAUAGGGAUAGUUGGGGGCAUUAGUAUUCAAUUGUCAGAGGUGAAAUUCUUGGAUUUAUUGAAGACUAACUACUGCGAAAGCAUUUGCCAAGGAUGUUUUCAUUAAUCAAGAACGAAAGUUAGGGGAUCGAAGACGAUCAGAUACCGUCGUAGUCUUAACCAUAAACUAUGCCGACUAGGGAUCGGAUGAUGUUAAUUUUUUAAUGACUCAUUCGGCGCCUUACG
rnacentral:rRNA from 1 species